rnacentral:rRNA from 1 species
UCCGUAGGUGAACCUGCGGAAGGAUCAUUACAGUGUUCAGGCUUCGGCCUCAUUCACACCCCUUGUUGAACCUCUGGUUUCUUUGGCGAUGUCAUGGACUCGUCAAACUUUAAACUCUGAAAAUGCGAUACUGUCCGAGUGAGAUUGAAUUAUCAAAACUUUCAACAACGGAUCUCUUGGUUCCAGCAUCGAUGAAGAACGCAGCGAAAUGCGAUAAAUAAUGUGAAUUGCAGAAUUCCGUGAAUCAUCGAGUUUUUGAACGCACAUUGCACUCCUUGGUAUUCCGAGGAGUACGCCUGUUCGAGCGUCAUUAAACUAUCAAGCCUCGCUUGGAUUUGAAUCGCUGCCGCGGCAGGAUUUCAAUAUUGUCGGCAAUGGACCAUCUGUGAUGACUCACUUGGAGUUCAUUUGCCUCCAUCCAUCCAUCAAAAGUUGACCUCGGAUCAGGCGGGGAUACCCGCUGAACUUAAGCAUAUCAAUAAGCGGAGGAAAAGAAACCAACAGGGAUUGCCUCAGUAACGGCGAGUGAAGCGGCAACAGCUCAGAUUUGAAAGCCGAGUCCUUGGACUUUGCAUUGUAAUCUGAAGAGGAAAUCUCGCGAACGAUUAGUCUCAAGUCUCCUGGAACGGAGCGUCAUGGAGGGUGAGAAUCCCGUGGAGAUGAAAUCCGACGCAUGUGAGAUUCCUUCGACGAGUCGAGUUGUUUGGGAAUGCAGCUCUAAUUGGGAGGUAAAUUCCUUCUAAAGCUAAAUAUCGGCUGGAGACCGAUAGCGCACAAGUAGAGUGAUCGAAAGAUGAAAAGAAU